rnacentral:rRNA from 1 species
GCUAAUACCGCAUACGAUCUAAGGAUGAAAGUGGGGGAUCGCAAGGCCUCGCGCGAUUGGAGCGGCUGAUAUCAGAUUAGGUUGUUGGUGAGGUAAAAGCUCACCAAGCCGACGAUCUGUAGCUGGUUUGAGAGAACGACCAGCCACACUGGGACUGAGACACGGCCCAGACUCCUACGGGAGGCAGCAGUGGGGAAUUUUGGACAAUGGGCGAAAGCCUGAUCCAGCAAUGCCGCGUGCANGAAGAAGGCCUUCGGGUUGUAAACUGCUUUUGUACGGAACGAAAAGGUCUGCCNUAAUACCGUCGGCCCAUGACGGUACCGGAAGAAUAAGCACCGGCUAACUACGUGCCAGCAGCCGCGGUAAUACGUAGGGUGCGAGCGUUAAUCGGAAUUACUGGGCGUAAAGCGUGCGCAGGCGGUGAUGUAAGACAGUUGUGAAAUCCCCGGGCUCAACCUGGGAAUUGCAUCUGUGACUGCAUCGCUAGAG